rnacentral:tRNA from 1 species
GAAAUGUGAUGUUCAAAUAGAAGCUGCUAACUUCAUACUUUAACGGUUAAAUUCCGUUUACAUUUCU